UGGGGAAUAUUGCGCAAUGGACGAAAGUCUGACGCAGCGACGCCGCGUGUGGGAUGACGGUCUUCGGAUUGUAAACCACUGUCGGGAGGGACGAAUACGCCGUAAGGCGGGUGACGGUACCUCCAAAGGAAGCACCGGCUGACUCCGUGCCAGCAGCCGCGGUAAUACGGAGGGUGCGAGCGUUGUCCGGAAUCACUGGGCGUAAAGGGCGCGUAGGCGGCCUGAUAAGUAGGGGGUGAAAUCCUGCGGCUUAACCGCAGGGCUGCCUUCUAAACUGCCAGGCUCGAGCACAGUAGAGGCAGGUGGAAUUCCCGGUGUAGCGGUGGAAUGCGUAGAGAUCGGGGAGAACAUCAGUGGCGAAGGCGGCCUGCUGGGCUGUUGCUGACGCUGAGGCGCGACAGCGUGGGGAGCGAAACAGGAUUAGAUACCCUGGUAGUCCACGCCGUAAACGAUGGGCACUAGGCGUCGGGGGGAGCGGACCCUCCCGGUGCCGUC
rnacentral:rRNA from 1 species